AGUGAACGCUGGCGGUAGGCCUAACACAUGCAAGUCGAACGGCAGCACAGUAAGAGCUUGCUCUUACGGGUGGCGAGUGGCGGACGGGUGAGGAAUACAUCGGAAUCUACUUUUUCGUGGGGGAUAACGUAGGGAAACUUACGCUAAUACCGCAUACGACCUACGGGUGAAAGCAGGGGAUCUUCGGACCUUGCACGAUUGAAUGAGCCGAUGUCGGAUUAGCUAGUUGGCGGGGUAAAGGCCCACCAAGGCGACGAUCCGUAGCUGGUCUGAGAGGAUGAUCAGCCACACUGGAACUGAGACACGGUCCAGACUCCUACGGGAGGCAGCAGUGGGGAAUAUUGGACAAUGGGCGCAAGCCUGAUCCAGCCAUACCGCGUGGUGAAGAAGGCCUUCGGGUUGUAAAGCCCUUUUGUUGGGAAAGAAAAGCAGCAGGUUAAUACCCCGCUGUUCUGACGGUACCCAAAGAAUAAGCACCGGCUAACUUCGUG
rnacentral:rRNA from 1 species